GCUUAAUGGAAGAUUCUGAGAUUUUUUUUUCUCUCUGAUAAAAGGCUAAGAACUGCUCUUACUAUCCUGCUUGGGAUGUUAUGAGGGUAUAACAUCUGAGCUGUGGCAGCCAUCUUGUGACUAUGAGGUAAUAGACACAGCAAAGCAAAGCUGAAGAUGAUGGAACAGAAACACAAACAGGAUCUGGUGCCUGUAAACAAUGAACCAUUGAAUGAACCCUUGAACCUCCUAUCUCCACUAUUAUUAAGCUAAAAUGUAGCUUCAUCAUCUUGUCCCUGCUGACGACCUGGAUCAAACAGUAGAUUUGGGUCUAAAGUGUUCAAAUCAUUGAUGCUGCCUGAGAGCUCAGAAGACAACCUGAUAUCGCUAGAGAAAUCAGAUGCAGUAUUAGUGAGAUCAGAUGCUCCCUGACCUACCAGCUGCUGGUUGGUUUGCAAGCUGUCUCCACUCAACAGGUCUUUAACAGUGCUAUUGAAAUCUAAUUGUUGCUCUCCAAUUUCUGAUUGUGCUUGAUUAUCUCCAGGAGAAAAAUUGAUCUGACCGGUGCUAUUACUUUUGGUGAGGUAAGAUGGUGUUUGGAACUCAUAAACAGAAGUGCUGGAAUCGAUCAUAUUUUGUGGGUUGGCACUAGGAAAAACAGUGGAAGGUUCCAAAAUCUGAGUGAGAUUCAUCCGGGCUGUAUAAUUAGAGGGCAGGUUGUUCAUUCCCAAACCUCUCACUGCAUCAUCAUUGUCGGAAUCAAGUUUACUCAACAAAACAUUGGUUAUUUUUUUACUGUUUGCUUGCUUCUGAAGAGCGUUUGGGAAGGCUGUCUGCAUCAUGACUGUCAAUGGAACUGAUUGGCUUCUUUGAGCUAUGUUGUUGGCACAUGCGUCUGUGUGAACAUUUGUGAAAACAUGAACUUCUGGGGUAACUGGACUUCCAAAGGGGGUCACAUUAGAUCGUGGGAUAUUAGAUACUGGAUAGAGGGUGCUUCCACUAAGAUUACGUUGGCGAUGAACAGCAGGGCUCACACUCCGGCAUCUGAAGUUGCUGCUGGCAGAUGAAUUAGUUCCUUUAUUAUCAAGAGGGGCAGGGACUGCAAAACCCUCCUGUUUGUUGGUGUUAUUUACAGUGGCACCUUGAUGCUGCACAGGAGAGACAGGAGUCAAACGACCAAAAUGAGUGUCAUGAUGUCUGGAUUGAGACUGAUAAGACUGUCCAGGCACAGCAAAAGCAUGAGGUUUCCUGAAACGGUCUUCCACUAGUUCCUGAUAGCUUGGGAGAAUACCAUGGCCAGAAACUGAUGAAUUACCAACCCCACUAUACCCAUUAUUCAUCCAUUCAAGCUUGGUUUUGUCAGGGUGUGUGGCCAUGGGUCUUUGCAUCGGUUUCACAGGACUACUUGAGACAAUGCUGGCGUCAUGAUAUGCCAUACUGGAGCUUAUUGGAGUGAAUGCAAACGGAUUCCUGCAUUCAACAGGGCUGGGGGGGACACUACUGCUGCAGUUAGAAUGUGGAGUACCAAUGGGUGUAUGUCGGCUACUUCCUAAAGCACUAUCCACAGGUGUAGUCUGGGCUAGCCUGGAGCAAGGGCUCUCCCGUGACAGACUCUGAGAUCCAGCAAUCAUUUCAGAUGUCGGGGUUGGGGUUGGGGUUGGAGUAGGAGUGGGUGUGGGUGUGGGUGUGGGUGUGUGGAUUGGAGUGCCAUUGCUGUGGAUUGGAUGAUAGAAGUGGGUGCUGGAAGUGUGAGAUGACAUUGGAGCUCCUGGAGUUACUGACUGACUCUGAAGGGUCAUUCCCAAACAGUUGCCGUAAGAAUGAGAAUUGUUCAUUGACAUUUGCUGCUCCAUAAGCACCAGCUCUUCCACAAUACUAUCUUGUGUAAGUUCAUCAUCAAAAGGAAAGUAGCUUUCAUUUGUCUGGGAAACAGAAGGCUCAAACUCCUUCAGUUCAGAUUGCAGAGGUAACUGAUCUGAAGAAUGUGCUUGUAUUUGAUUUAAAGAAGAUUCCUGUAUCUGGCUAUGUAGCUGCUGGCUAUAUGUGUCCUGUGGCAUUCCUUCUAAUUCCCAAACAGAUUUCUCUAAGUCAUUGAUAUCAGAGUGCUCAGGAAUUGUCAUAACACUGAUAUCUUGCUGUUGUUCACAACUGGCAGAUAUAAACUCAGAAUCUUUAGUGAUUUGUUGCCAUCCAUUUGGAUUAAAGCUGCCAACUGACUUUGAAUCACUGUCCAAGAGAAAGACACUUCCUUCAAGUUUUACUUUUAUAUCUGGAGAUGAUGAUGGGGUUGUUUGCUGUUCCAAAGCUGAAUCACUGAUAACAAGGGCAGAGGAAUUCAAGGGUUGAUUUGCUCCUAUGUGUGAACUGACAUUUACUGAUACCUUGCUAGGAAUCUGAGCACCUGCUGUUGAACCUUCUGUUUUCCCUGAAUGUGGAACCUUUUGGUCCUUCUUAACACUGCCUUGUUUCUGCCCUUCUAUGGUAGCUGCUGAAAGCUGUUCCACAAUUGGUUUCUUUACAGGAGGCACCUGGGUCUCCUGCAAUGUAGAAGACAGUCGUUUUCUUGGGCUUUUAGUGCAUAAUUUAGGGUCUUUAUUGAUUGAGUCACCAUUAGGUGGUGAGCUGCUGCUGGUGAAAGUUAAGUUCUGAGAAGCAACUGAUAGAGUGAUAGUGCUUUGAUUAUUGCCUGUUGACGUGCCUGGCAGCAUUUCAUUACAGCGACUUUUACAUUUGGUCCUCUGGUCACAGACCUUAGUUGCUUUUAUUUCAAUGACACCUUCAUUUGAAGGUUUCUGCAGUGCUCCGUCUGUAUUACUUUUCUGCCCCAAAAGGGCACUAGGUGUCUGGGGAGCUUUAGCCUCAUCAGAGUUCUCUUGGCACUGUACAGGAUGCUCAUCUGAUGAUGUUUCGGGUUCCACUUUGACUUCCACAGCAGAUGUUCCCCCCGCACUGCUGCUCCUGGACCCAGGAGACUGAAGCGACACGACAGAACCAUUCUUGAUCUGUGGAACACUCCUUGAUUCUUCUGUUGUUCCUGUAGCACUGCUGACUGAGGCAGAAUGUUUAAGAGGGGUGUUACUGUUGCUGGGUGUGAGGGAUAUUGUUGUCAUUUUCACCACAUUUAGAGAACUCAUGUGUGAAGCGGGUACAACAGCAGUUUUGAUGGGACUACUAGUAAAGAGGACAGUAGUUGGAGAGCGAAUGGUGAGUGCACUGGUGUUCGCUGGUUUGGGUAAGAUCUGAGGGUAACGGUGCCGGGCAGAACGAUCCCCACCAGGACUGGCUGGAACGUUCUGGGGAGUCUUUGGUGCCUGUUUCACAGACUGCAUGUGCUGAGUGACCACCUGUACAUUGAGGGGAAGAACUUUGCCGUCAGAAGAACUCAUUGGACUCGGUGAAGUUACCAAUUGCCUAGUCCGCU
rnacentral:lncRNA from 1 species